rnacentral:rRNA from 1 species
UUCUGGACUGACACUGACACUGAGGUGCGAAAGCGUGGGUAGCAAACAGGAUCAGAUACCCUGGUAGUCCACGCCGUAAACGAUGUCGACCAGCCGUUGGGUGCCUAGCGCACUUUGUGGCGAAGUUAACGCGAUAAGUCGACCGCCUGGGGAGUACGGCCGCAAGGUUAAAACUCAAAUGAAUUGACGGGGGCCCGCACAAGCGGUGGAGCAUGUGGUUUAAUUCGAUGCAACGCGAAGAACCUUACCUACUCUUGACAUCCUGCGAAUUUGGUAGAGAUACCUUAGUGCCUUCGGGAACGCAGAGACAGGUGCUGCAUGGCUGUCGUCAGCUCGUGUUGUGAAAUGUUGGGUUAAGUCCCGUAACGAGCGCAACCCUUGUCCUUAUUUGCCAGCGCGUAAUGGCGGGAACUCUAAGGAGACUGCCGGUGACAAACCGGAGGAAGGUGGGGACGACGUCAAGUCAUCAUGGCCCUUACGAGUAGGGCUACACACGUGCUACAAUGGUCGGUACAAAGGGUUGCCAACUCGCGAGAGUGAGCCAAUCCCGAAAAGCCGAUCUCAGUCCGGAUCGGAGUCUGCAACUCGACUCCGUGAAGUCGGAAUCGCUAGUAAUCGUGGAUCAGAAUGCCACGGUGAAUACGUUCCCGGGCCUUGUACACACCGCCCGUCACACCAUGGGAGUGGACUGCACCAGAAGUGGUUAGCCUAACGCAAGAGGGCG